UGGCAUGGUCGCACGUGGCGUAGGUUAUCCGGCGUGUUGACAGGCCUCAUACGUGGCGUUGGUUGUACCGGCGUAUGGGGAGAAUAUGUGAAAUACAAAGAAAUGAAAUAAGGUAUCGCCGAUGUGUGGAAGUGGAUUUUAUGGAAGAACUACGUGUGGCUUGAUCCCUCAAGGAGGGUACGUAGGCAGCCUAAGGUUAUUAGGUGCAGCCGC
rnacentral:lncRNA from 1 species